CACACUCCCUCAUUCCAAAAAAGAAGAUGUCCAGUGACUCUCAAGAUCAAUCUAGUCAUUCAGAUGAGUCUACAGAGGCUCAGCUUGAAGCUGAGCUUGAGGUAGAGCUUGAAGCUGAGCUGGGGGCUGAAUUGGAAGCAGAAUCAGCUGGUACCUCUAUUCGGCGUGGGGGCUACACACGGAGCUCAUCAAGAAGGAGCAAGAAAAGAUGUGGAACGAGCUUUCGGGGUUUUGCAAAAAUGUUGGGCCAUCGUACGUCACCCAGCACGGCUAUGGGAAUGGGAACAACUUGCAGAUAUCAUGUAUGCAUGUGUUAUUUUGCACAACAUGAUAGUAGAGAAUGAGAGAGGCAUCUACGACAUACCCGAUGACAACACAUAUGAACAAGGACAUUCCCCGCAUUUAACAGGACUUGAUCAUGGACCAGUCCAUGGAUUCUCAGAGGUCCUAGAAAAAGAUAUGGAAAUUCGUGAUCAACAAGCCCAUCGUCGUCUGAAGGAAGAUUUGAUAGAGCAUAUAUGGCAAAAGUUUGGUGAUAAUCGACAGCAACCAUGAGAAAAAAAUGCCUAUCAGCCUUUUACUUUGCCAGUUUGCCUUAGCCAUGUAAUUUAGGAUUGUCAGUUUGUUUUCCAUAACUUGUAUUCGUAAGUAGGAUUAUCGUCAGUACUUUUACUUUGUCA